rnacentral:lncRNA from 1 species
CUUGUGAGGCGUGAGAGGUCACACAAGUGCCUGGAGUCACCUGCCCGCAUCUCAGCCCUGUCUCUGCCUGGCUGGGCAGGAGCCAGCAGUGCUGAGCGGGGAACGGUUGUGUUGCAGGUGCCGGUGGCCUUUGAGGACGUGGCCGUCUAUUUCUCCCCGGAGGAGUGGGCGCAGUUAGCGGAAUGGCAGCGGGAGCUGUACCGGGACGUGAUGAUGGAGAAUUACGAGCUGGUGGCCUCGCUGGGUGAGGAUCCCCUUAUCAGCCGGAGCAGCAGCGUCUCUGGUACCCCUAGGCUGGUGUUACGAGAGCUCCAAGGCCCGUGCUGUUGGGGAUGGGGACUGACGUGUGCCAGGGACUGUGGCACGUGGCCGAGUGCAGGAGACGGAGCUGCUCCGUGGUGGGGCGUUCUGGGUCUGGGUGGUAGAUCCGUCAUGCUCAGCUCCCCGUUCGUUGGUGCCAUCCCAGCUGGGGUUUGCUGACAGGUGGGGGGUGCAGCAGGAGUAGUCGGGGAGAAGGCAUGUCCACUCACCGUGUGCCUUUUCACCCCACUGGACCAGCUCCUGCAGGCUCAGCACUGGCUGGUGAGAACAGUUCCUCUCUGCCAGGCGUCUCUCCCGGGAGCCGCUGCCUCUGCGGAGUUCCCCUAUGCUGGAGCUGGCGAAGGAUGCAGAGGCAGCCGUGAUGGGCGUGUGCCAUGGAUGGGCGUGUGCCAUGUACCAGCUGCCUACUCACUCCCAUGUGCCAUCAAAGGGGCUGGGAGCUGCCUGGGACCCACUGUCUGAAAGGCAGCCUGCACCCUGGCCUGGGAGUUACUGGCUGGGGGCUGCUUGCAUUAGUGUGGGCCAGAGAAACCCCUAUCACUGGUCAUGGCUGUCUCAGCCAGGCCCCAGGAUGCUGUACGUGUUCUCUUGCCCAGGAACAGGCUCUGCGGGCCCCAAGCUCAAGGCGUCUGCUAAAAAAGUGAAGCGGGAGAAGGCGCCGUAUGUCUGGGACCAUCAAUACUCGAGAGCCAAAGUCCUGAUGCUUCCAGUGCAGGCAGACGAUACCCCAAACCAGGCUGUCAGCAGGCUGAGGGACACGGCCCGUGGGGCUGGGAGGUGUUCAGUGAGGCUGUUCUGCAUUGCAGGAGCUGGUGACCUUUGA